rnacentral:tRNA from 1 species
GCCUCGUUAGCGCAGUAGGCAGCGCGUCAGUCUCAUAAUCUGAAAUCAGAAAUCUGAAGGUCGUGAGUUCGAUCCUCACACGGGGCA